CUCUUGUACAAAGAAACUUGCGAAGCGCCAUGGCAACUUCCUCUGCUCACCUCUCGUUUCUCGCCGGAAGGUUCUCCUCCGAACAGAUCGUAUUACUUCUUCACAGAGGUGAAUUUCAUCCGGCAAUUACCCUGUUCCGGUGCUCGGCUGGAAAGAGCGGAUCCUUCACGCGGUGGAGAAGGCGCUAUUGGUUUCUGAUUUUGGACCCAAAAUUACAGUUAGAAUUGUUGAGAAGCUAAGAGAGGAUAUUUUGUCUGGGAAACUCAAAUCAGGAAGCGAGAUCUAUUAAGUUUCUGAUUCACCGGAGAACACGACGGAGAACAAGAAGAAGAGGAGAGCAAUUAAAGCUCUAACAAACUUUCUUAACAGAAAAUAAAUGUGUAUUACAAUUUACAAAGCUUAGUUUAGGAAGGUAAUCCUAAUCUUAUACAAACUUCUCAUUAACCAAGAGGCUUUUUUAUGAUGCUUUCUUGAUGUUUUAGGAAGGCGCAUCGGAUGAGAUAGAGAGGCUCCCGAAAUUCAAGUUUCUGAUGGUAAGAAACUCAGAGAAAGUGAGCGGUGAGAUACGAGAAACUCAUGGAGGGAUAAUGACUAAAAUUGGUGUUGAUUCUCCAACCAAGCGUGUGCUAUCAAGCGACGAAGCUGUAAGUUUAGUAACCCAUCCGGAUCCAAAACAAAUGAAUCUUUGCCUCUUUCAGGAAUGCUGCAUUUGUCUCUGUGACUAUGAAGAUGGAACAGAGCUGAGAGAACUUUCAUGCAGACACCAUUUCCAUGAAGCGUGCAUAGACAAAUGGCUACGUAAUAAUGCCACUUGCCCUCUCUACAAAUUCAACAUCCUCAAAACCAAUGAACAAAGUGGCAACGAUGCAGUAUGAUCAAAGUUUUCUGCAUUCAGAUUCAUUUGUCGGUGAUCUUAGACUCUCUCUCUCCAUUGUUAAAGUUUAGAGCUUUAGUAUCGCGGUGGAAACUUGAGACAACCGAGUGAGGGGGCUUGAGCUCUUUCUCUAAUAUUUUGUUGUGUAAAUGUUUAUUAAUAAUAACAUGUCGAGAUUAUAAUUUUAUAUAAUAAUUAAGGUUUUGACGUGUG